CGAGGAAAGUCGACUUAAAGUUGUCC
rnacentral:misc_RNA from 1 species